ACCUGCACUAACAGCCUGAGAGAAAAGGACACUGCAUAUCACAGAGAGAUGCAUAGAUGUUACACUCAGAAAGAGAGUGAACAACUAGAAGAUGUGGAAGGCAAGCUUUUUAGUAUUAAGAGGAAAAUUCCAAGGGCCAAUUUUGAAACAAACCAGGCAGAGACCCAGAUGCAGAAUCCUGCAGGCUGAGGGAUGUUAGGAAGAGUUAGCCCACCACUGCUGCGCUGAAACCAGGAUGACGCAAACUGGGCCUCAGGCCAGUAGAUCAAUAAACCAAACUCCCUGUCACCUCAGACUCUGCACCUGUUAAAGCCCUGUAAAGAGCCGACAUGUAAGGACUUAUACUGACUGGAUACAGAGAAUAUGGAGCAAAUCAAACGUAUUUAAAUAGUAAAUUAUCAUAUUGUUAUAAAUAAAAAU
rnacentral:lncRNA from 1 species